ACCCGCCUUGGCCUCCCAAAGUGCUGGGAUUCUUACAUUGACUGCAUAGAAAGAGGAGAGAAAGUAACCUACCUAUCCCAUACAUACUUCAGCCAGGUCCUGUGCCUGAUCUGUAAUGUGAAUGAAGAGUCAUGG
ensembl:snoRNA